rnacentral:rRNA from 1 species
GACGAACGCUGGCGGCGUGCUUAACACAUGCAAGUCGAACGGAAAGGCCUGCUUUCCCUUGUGGAUUGCGGGUACUCGAGUGGCGAACGGGUGAGUAACACGUGAGUGAUCUGCCCCCAACUUGGGUAUAAGCCUGGGAAACUGGGUCUAAUUCCCGAUAGGACUGCAGGGUGGUGCCUGUGGUGGAAAACGAUUUUCUAGUGGUUGGGGAUGAGCUCGCGGCCUAUCAGCUUGUUGGUGGGGUAAUGGCCUACCAAGGCGGCGACGGGUAGCCGGCCUGGGAGGGUGGACGGCCACAUUGGGACUGAGAUACGGCCCAGACUCCUACGGGAGGCAGCAGUGGGGAAUAUUGUACAAUGGGCGGAAGCCUGAUGCAGCGACGCCGCGUGGGGGAUGACGGCCUUCGGGUUGUAAACUCCUUUCGACCGCGAGGAAGCCACCUGGUUGGAAGGGUGGUGACGGUAGUGGUAGAAGAAGCACCGGCUAACUACGUG